CCUAGGGCGGCUGCAGUGGGGAAUAUUGGACAAUGGGCGAAAGCCUGAUCCAGCCAUGCCGCGUGUGUGAAGAAGGCCUUCGGGUUGUAAAGCACUUUCAGUGGGGAAGAAAGCCUUGGGGCUAAUACCCUCGAGGAAGGACAUCACCCACAGAAGAAGCACCGGCUAACUCCGUGCCAGCAGCCGCGGUAAUACGGAGGGUGCGAGCGUUAAUCGGAAUUACUGGGCGUAAAGCGCGCGUAGGCGGUCUGAUAAGCCGGUUGUGAAAGCCCCGGGCUCAACCUGGGAACGGCAUCCGGAACUGUCAGGCUAGAGUGCAGGAGAGGAAGGUAGAAUUCCCGGUGUAGCGGUGAAAUGCGUAGAGAUCGGGAGGAAUACCAGUGGCGAAGGCGGCCUUCUGGACUGACACUGACGCUGAGGUGCGAAAGCGUGGGUAGCAAACAGGAUUAGAUACCCGGGUAGUC
rnacentral:rRNA from 1 species